rnacentral:guide_RNA from 1 species
AAAUCCGUAUGAUGUGAACGUAAACUAGAAUGUGAAUUAAUAUU